UCCCUCUUAGCUCAGUGGUAGAGCGCAUCACUAGUAUCGGUAUUUAAUGAUGAGGUCAGUCGUUCAAGUCGGCUAGAGGGAA